rnacentral:rRNA from 1 species
GACGAACGCUUGCGGCGUGCCUAAGAAAUGCAAGUCGAGCGAGGUUUAGGCUUCGGCCGACGACCUAGCGGCGAACGGUCGCGUAACACGUAAGCAACCUGCCCUAAAGUUGGGGAUAGCCCGCCGAAAGGCGGAUUAAUACCGAAUGUGGAUAUGAUUUCGCAUGUGAUUAUAUCUGAAGCAGCGAUGCGCUUUAGGAUGGGCUUGCGGCCUAUCAGUUAGUUGGUGUGGGUAACGGCCUACCAAGACGACGACGGGUAGCUGGUCUGAGAGGAUGGUCAGCCGGAUUGGGACUGAGACACGGCCCAGACUCCUACGGGGGCAGCAAUUAGGAAUCUUGCGCAAUGGGCGAAAGCCUGACGCAGCGACGCCGCGUGACCGAUGAAGUCCUUCGGGAUGUAAAGGUCUUUGUCAGGGGAAGAAGGAUGUGACGGUACCCUGCGAAUAAGACCCGGCCGUAACUACGUGUCCACGCACGCCGCGGUAAACGUACACGUAGUA